UACGGGGGGGGUAAGCGUUGUUCGGAAUUACUGGGCGUAAAGGGCUCGUAGGCGGCCAACUAAGUCAUACGUGAAAUCCCUCAGCUUAACUGGGGAACUGCGUGUGAUACUGGAUGGCUUGGAUUUGGGAGAGGGAUGCGGAAUUCCAGGUGUAGCGGUGAAAUGCGUAGAUAUCUGGAGGAACACCGGUGGCGAAGGCGGCAUCCUGGACCAAUAUUGACGCUGAGGAGCGAAAGCCAGGGGAGCAAAC
rnacentral:rRNA from 1 species